AUUGAACGCUGGCGGCAGGCCUAACACAUGCAAGUCGAACGAGUGGCGGACGGGUGAGUAAUGUCUGGGAAACUGCCUGAUGGAGGGGGAUAACUACUGGAAACGGUAGCUAAUACCGCAUACCAUCAGAUGUGCCCAGAUGGGAUUCGCUAGUAGGUGGGGUAACGGCUCACCUAGGCGACGAGCCCUAGAUGGUCUGAGAGGAUGACCAGCCACACUGGAACUGAGACACGGUCCAGCCUCCUACGGGAGGCAGCAGUUGGGAAUAUUGCACAAUGGGCGCAAGCCUUAUGCAGCCAUGCCGCGUGUAUGAAGAAGGCCUUCGGUUUGUAAAGUACUUUCAGCGGGGAGGCGUUACCCGCAGAAGAAGCACCGGCUAACUCCGUGCCAGCCGCCGCGGUAAUUC
rnacentral:rRNA from 1 species